rnacentral:rRNA from 1 species
ACGAACUAUAUGUUCGCUCCGCUUUAUUUUUACGUCGCAACAUUUAAAUCCAUCUCAAAAAUCCUACGCCAUCUUGAGUUCAAAUUUAAACUAAACGUCUUAAUCUAAAUUUAGAAAUUUCAAAUUUCUUAGAAUUUUAAAAUUUAACGACAAAAAGCAAAAAGACAAAUAAAGCUUUUAAGAUAAAGGCGAAGUAUUUUUGUCUUUAGGCGAGGCGAAUUUUAGCGAAGCAAGGGAGUUAUCGUUUGGAUAAUGACCGAAGCUGAGCAAAAAUUCAACGAAGCAUAAAGCAAAAAGACAAGCCGCAAGAAAAGUAUAAAUCAUUAAGUGCAAGUGGUAGGAGAGCGUUCCAAUCAGCGUUGAAGCCGUACCGGUAAGGAGCGGUGGAGCGGUUGGAAGUGAGCAUGCAGGCAUGAGUAGCGAUAAAAUACGUGAGAAUCGUAUUCGCCGUAAACCCAAGGUUUCCUACGCGAUGCUCGUCAUCGUAGGGUUAGCCGGGUCCUAAGCAAAGUCCGAAAGGGGUAUGCGAUGGAAAAUUGGUUAAUAUUCCAAUGCCAACUAUAAUGUGCGAUGGAAGGACGCUUAGAGUUAAGCAAGCUAGCGGAUGGUAGUGCUAGUCGAAAGGUGUAGGUUAAGAUCCAGGCAAAUCCGGAUCUUUUUAAGCCGAGACCCCACAGGCGUUUGAAGUUCUUCGGAAUGGAUAGCGAAUUGCUGAUACUAUCGAGCCGAGAAAAGUUUCUAAGUUUAGCUGAUAUCGCCCGUACCGUAAACCGACACAGGUGGGUGGGAUGAGUAUUCUAAGGCGCGUGGAAGAACUCUCUUUAAGGAACUCUGCAAAAUAGCACCGUAUCUUCGGUAUAAGGUGUGCCUAACUUUGUGAAGGAUUUACUCCGUAAGCAUUGAAGGUUACAACAAAGAGUCCCUCCCGACUGUUUACCAAAAACACAGCACUCUGCUAACUCGUAAGAGGAUGUAUAGGGUGUGACGCCUGCCCGGUGCUCGAAGGUUAAUUGAUGACGUUAGCUCUGCGAAGCGUUUGAUCGAAGCCCGAGUAAACGGCGGCCGUAACUAUAACGGUCCUAAGGUAGCGAAAUUCCUUGUCGAUUAAAUAUCGACCUGCAUGAAUGGCGUAACGAGAUGGGAGCUGUCUCGAAGAGGGAUCCAGUGAAAUUGUAGUGGAGGUGAAAAUUCCUCCUACCCGCGGCAAGACGGAAAGACCCCGUGGACCUUUACUAUAGCUUGACACUGCUACUUGGAUAAAGAUGCGCAGGAUAGGUGGGAGGCUUCGAUUCGUAGAUCUCGGUUUACGAUGAGCCAUUGUUGAGAUACCACUCUUCUUUAUUCGGGUAGCUAACUAGCCUAAGUUAUCCUUAGGUAGGACAAUGUCUGGUGGGUAGUUUGACUGGGGCGGUCGCCUCCCAAAAUGUAACGGAGGCUUACAAAGGUUGGCUCAGAACGGUUGGAAAUCGUUCGCAGAGUAUAAAGGCAAAAGCCAGCUUAACUGCGAGACAUACACGUCAAGCAGGGACGAAAGUCGGGCUUAGUGAUCCGGUGGUUCUGUAUGGAAGGGCCAUCGCUCAACGGAUAAAAGGUACU